rfam:Desulfuromonadales bacterium C00003093 3730_contig_11206.2, whole genome shotgun sequence.
CAAAGAAGGACAGAUGAUCGCCGGUCCGUCGUCACUGGCGGGCGGGAGGAAAGUCCGGGCUCCACAGGACGGGAUGGUCCCUAACGGGGACCGGGGGCAACCCUAGGGAAAGUGCCACAGAGAGGAGACCGCCUGCUGAUGUUCGACACCGGCAGGUAAGGGUGAAAGGGUGAGGUAAGAGCUCACCAGUUCCGACGGUGACGUCGGAAGCUCGGUAAACCCCAUCCGGAGCAAGGCCGAAUAGAGGAACGUUUGAGGGCGGUCCGCCCGAAGUUCCCGGGUCUGGCUGCUUGAGGCCGUUGGCAACAGCGGUCCUAGAGGAAUGAUCAUCGUCCCGCAGCAGGUAACUGCUGCGGGAAACAGAACCCGGCUUACGGACUUCUUUGGCCA